CCUACGGGUGGCAGCAGUGGGGAAUAUUGCACAAUGGGGGAAACCCUGAUGCAGCGACGCCGCGUGAGCGAUGAAGUCUUUCGGUAUGUAAAGCUCUAUCAGCAGGGAAGAAAAUGACGGUACCGGACUAUGAAGCCACGGCUAACUACGUGCCAGCAGCCGCGUGAAUACGUAGGGGGCAAGCUUUAUCCGGAUUUACUGGGUGUAAUGGGAGCGUAGUCGGCGGUGCAGGUCAGAUGUGAAAGCCCGGGGCUCAACCCCGGGACUGCAUUUGGAACUGGGCUGCUAGAGUGUCGGAGAGGCAGGCGGAAUUCCUGGGGUAGCGGUGAAAUGCGUAGAUAUUAGGAGGAACACCAGUGGCGAAGGCGGCCUGCUGGACGAUGACUGACGUUGAGGCUCGAAAGCGUGGGGAGCAAACAGGAUUAGAUACCCUUGUAGUC
rnacentral:rRNA from 1 species